GGCGAGAUGGCCGAGCGGUCUAAGGCGCUAGUUUCAGGAGGUCGAUUCUUCGGAAUCAACAGUCAAAUUACUAGUCAGAAAUGGCAUGGGUUCGAAUCCCAUUCUCGUCA